UACAGAGGGCUCAAGCGUUGUUCGGAAUCACUGGGCGUAAAGGGUGCGUAGGCUGCGGAGAAAGUCUGGUGUGAAAUUUACGAGCUCAACUCGUAACUAGCACCUGAUACUCCUUUGCUAGAGAUCUGGAGAGGAGCUUGGAAUUCUCGGUGUAGCAGUGAAAUGCGUAGAUUUCGAGAAGAACGCUCGCGGCGAAAGCGAAGCUCUGGCCAGAUUCUGACGCUGAGGCACGAAGGCUAGGGGAGCAAACGGG
rnacentral:rRNA from 1 species